UGCCAGCCGCCGCGGUAAUACGGAGAGUGCAAGCGUUGUUCGGAAUCAUUGGGCGUAAAGGGCGUCUAGGUGGCCCGGCAAGUCAGAUGUGAAAUCCCUCGGCUCAACCGAGGACGUGCAUUUGAAACUGCUAGGCUUGAGUGUUGGAGGGGGUAGCGGAAUUCCCGGUGUGGAGGUGAAAUUCGUAGAUAUCGGGAGGAACACCAGUGGCGAAGGCGGCUACCUGGCCAAACACUGACACUGAAGCGCGAAAGCGUGGGGAGCAAACAGGAUUAGAUA
rnacentral:rRNA from 1 species